UACGGGGGGGGCAAGCGUUGUUCGGAAUUACUGGGCGUAAAGGGCUCGUAGGCGGCCAACUAAGUCAGACGUGAAAUCCCUCGGCUUAACCGGGGAACUGCGUCUGAUACUGGAUGGCUUGAGUUUGGGAGGGGGAUGCGGAAUUCCAGGUGUAGCGGUGAAAUGCGUAGAUAUCUGGAGGAACACCAAUGGCGAAGGCAGCUCGCUGGGACGGUACUGACGCUGAGGCGCGAAAGCGUGGGGAGCAAACAGG
rnacentral:rRNA from 1 species